rnacentral:ncRNA from 1 species
CAUCGUGAGGUGGAAUCUGAAGGAAGUCGGCGGCAAACAUCUGACCUGACGAACAGAAACUUGAUAUAAGGGCCAAGAACGUGGGUUAGUUUGCCAAUCAAAAUAAAAGCCUGAUAGCUAUUCGGAACGUUCAUGGUAAAUCAAGUAGGUAUAAGAUGGAAAGAAU